rnacentral:pre_miRNA from 1 species
UCAACCCAUUUAACCAUCUAACCCAUCAAAUUAAAUGAGUUCAUGGGUUGGCUGAUCACAUUUUGCUAAAUGAGUUGCUAAAUGAGUUGAGUCAACCCAUGAACUCAUUUAACUUCAAAUUCAUUGGGUAAUUAUG